UUUUUUAUCAAAACCCAUACGAUUGAGUGACAAGGACCUGAGGACUGCAGCUGCAGGUGUGGCCACCUGGUAGCCAUACUGACAGUAUUUAUCCCACAGAAAGACCUGGUGGAAGAGGAGGCUGAGGAGGCUGGAGUGGCUUUGAGAAGCACCCAGAGCACACUGCAAGCAGGUCUGGCUGCAGAUGCCUGGGCUGCUCCCAUCGCCAUGCAGAUCUACAAGAAGCACCUGGACCCCAGGCCCGGGCCCUGCCCACCUGAGCUGGGCCUGGGCCUGGGCCAGCUGGCCUGCUGCUGCCUGCACCGCCGGGCCAAAAGGAGGCCUCCUAUGACCCAGGUGUACGAGAGGCUAGAGAAGCUGCAGGCAGUGGUGGCGGGGGUGCCCGGGCAUUCGGAGGCCGCCAGCUGCAUCCCCCCUUCCCCGCAGGAGAACUC
rnacentral:lncRNA from 1 species